UACCAGACUCCUACGGGAGGCAGCAGUGGGGGAUAUUGCACAAUGGGGGAAACCCUGAUGCAGCGACGCCGCGUGGGCGAAGAAGUAUUUCGGUAUGUAAAGCCCUAUCAGCAGGGAAGAAGAAAUGACGGUACCUGAGUAAGAAGCACCGGCUAAAUACGUGCCAGCAGCCGCGGUAAUACGUAUGGUGCAAGCGUUAUCCGGAUUUACUGGGUGUAAAGGGAGCGUAGACGGCAGUGCAAGUCUGGAGUGAAAGGCGGGGGCUCAACCCCCGGACUGCUCUGGAAACUGUACGGCUGGAGUGCAGGAGAGGUAAGUGGAAUUCCUAGUGUAGCGGUGAAAUGCGUAGAUAUUAGGAGGAACACCAGUGGCGAAGGCGGCGUACUGGACUGUAACUGACGUUGAGGCUCGAAAGCGUGGGGAGCAAACAGGAUUAGAUACCCCAGUAAGG
rnacentral:rRNA from 1 species